rnacentral:rRNA from 1 species
CGGCGAACGGGUGAGUAACACGUGAGCAAUCUGCCCUUCACAUCGGGAUAACCCCCGGAAACGGGAGCUAAUACCGGAUACGACCACUUCAGGCAUCUGAUGGUGGUGGAAAGUUCUGGCGGUGAAGGAUGAGCUCGCGGCCUAUCAGCUUGUUGGUGGGGUAAUGGCCCACCAAGGCUUCGACGGGUAGCCGGCCUGAGAGGGUGACCGGCCACACUGGGACUGAGACACGGCCCAGACUCCUACGGGAGGCAGCAGUGGGGAAUAUUGGACAAUGGGCGAAAGCCUGAUCCAGCAACGCCGCGUGAGGGAUGACGGCCUUCGGGUUGUAAACCUCUUUCAGCGCAGACGAAGCGAAAGUGACGGUAUGCGCAGAAGAAGCACCGGCCAACUACGUGCCAGCAGCCGCGGUAAUACGUAGGGUGCGAGCGUUGUCCGGAAUUAUUGGGCGUAAAGGGCUCGUAGGCGGUCUGUUGCGUCAGGAGUGAAAACUCGGGGCUUAACCCCGAGCCUGCUUCUGAUAC